rnacentral:rRNA from 1 species
AACGAACGCUGGCGGCAUGCCUAACACAUGCAAGUCGAACGAGACCUUCGGGUCUAGUGGCGCACGGGUGCGUAACGCGUGGGAAUCUGCCCUUGGGUUCGGAAUAACAGUUAGAAAUGACUGCUAAUACCGGAUAAUGUCUUCGGACCAAAGAUUUAUCGCCCAGGGAUGAGCCCGCGUAGGAUUAGCUAGUUGGUGAGGUAAAGGCUCACCAAGGCGACGAUCCUUAGCUGGUCUGAGAGGAUGAUCAGCCACACUGGGACUGAGACACGGCCCAGACUCCUACGGGAGGCAGCAGUGGGGAAUAUUGGACAAUGGGCGAAAGCCUGAUCCAGCAAUGCCGCGUGAGUGAUGAAGGCCUUAGGGUUGUAAAGCUCUUUUACCCGGGAUGAUAAUGACAGUACCGGGAGAAUAAAGCCCCCGGCUAACUCCGUGCCAGCAGCCGCGGU